UACGAAGGGUGCUAGCGUUGUUCGGAAUUACUGGGCGUAAAGCGCGCGUAGGCGGUUAUACAAGUCAGGGGUGAAAUCCCACAGCUCAACUGUGGAACUGCCUUUGAAACUGUAUAGCUGGAGUGUGUGAGGGGAUAGCGGAAUUGCUAAUGUAGAGGUGAAAUUCGUAGAUAUUAGCAGGAACACCGGUGGCGAAGGCGGCUAUCUGGCACACAACUGACGCUGAGGCGCGAAAGCGUGGGGAUCAAACAGG
rnacentral:rRNA from 1 species